rnacentral:piRNA from 1 species
UGGUCACCAAGUUUUGUCCCUCUUCCUUC